AGGUAGAGAGAGAGAGCGAGAGAGAGAGAGAGAGAGAGAGAGAGAACUGGAAAGUGAAUGGAGAGGGCAGGCUUUCAGUCACAGGAGGAACAUUUGGUGCAGUGCUGAAACUUCUUCCCCAAACACAGCUUCUUCUUCUACCUAGACCUUGCCACGGUUAUGGCCACAGGGCACAUAUGAGAAGGUGACAGGGGACACUGACACUCGGACUACACUAACCUCUGGGGCACAAUUGGAGUUUGGUACUUCAGCAUCAUGGGUUGCAAAACAAGAUCCAUGCAUUGUGUCUUGCGGUGUGUGUGCUUCAUGCUCCUUCACUUGUCUUGUACAGCACAAGAUGAGGACAUGAGAUUCAGUUGUAAGACUGUUGCAAGUGAUCUGGUCUUUAUCCUAGACGGCUCAUGGAGUGUAGCUGAUGUGAACUUUGAAAUAGUGAAGCGAUGGCUAGUCAACAUUACCACAAGCUUUAACAUCGGACAGAAGUUCUCCCAGAUCGGAGUGGUCCAAUACAGUGAUGAUCCAAUCAUAAAUAUUCCACUAGGGAAGCACCUUCAUAUCAAGGAUCUCAUUAGAGCCAUGGAAUCCAUUGACUACAUGGGAGGAAAUACAAGGACUGGGACAGCCAUACAGUUUGCUAGCGACAAACUGUUUAACCUGUCUGAGAGAGGCCCAAAGGGCGUUGCUAGAAUCGCUGUGGUCCUAACAGACGGGAAGUCACAAGAUGAGGUGAAAGCUGCAGCAGAGGCAGCCAGGAGAAGAGGAAUAAUCAUCUUUGCCAUUGGUGUGGGAUCUGAGACAGAAGAGGCAGAGUUGAAUGCUAUUGGAAACAAGCCUUCCUCCAACUACGUGUUUUACGUUGAUGACUAUAAAGCUAUUUCCAAGAUCCGUGAGACCAUAAGGCAGAAAUUGUGUGAAGAGACUGUUUGUCCAAGCAGUAUCUCAGUCGAUAACGGUGAUGUGAAGGGCUUCGAUAUUCUACAGUAUCUUAAUUUGGCCAAAAAGGUCAAAAAAACUCAAGGGUCUUUCUAUGGCUCCAAAGCCUUCCAGGUGACAUCUCGCGUUGACCUGAGUGAAAGCACGACGAACUUGUUUCCAGACGGCCUGCCUCCGUCCUACGUCUUUGUGUCCACACUGAGGUACAAGGGGUCUCUGCUCAGGGAAGAGUGGGACUUAUGGAGGGUACAGACCAAUAACGGGAAACCACAAAUGGCUGUCACACUUAACGGAUUUGAACGCAAUGUCAAGUUCACUACAACCAGUGUAGCACCAGGUGAUACUCAGACAGUGGUCUUCCAACAAGAACCUUCCAAGAAACUAUUUGAUGAGAACUGGCACCAGCUUCGCCUACUGGUCACUGAGCAGGAUGUUACCCUGUAUGUUGAUGACCUGGAAAUUGAAACCAUGCCAUUGGAACCUCCUGUUGGUAUCUUCAUUAAUGGGAAGACCCAGAUCGGAAAGUAUGUCAGCAAAGAGACGACUGUACCAUUUGAGAUUAUGAAACUCAGGAUCUACUGCGACCCCGAGCAGAACAAACGUGAGACUGCCUGUGAAAUACCUGGAGUUGACGGCGAGUGCGCCAAUGGCCCUGGUGACAUAGACGUGGACCCCACUCCAGAACCAUGUACCUGUCCUCCCGGACCUCCUGGUCUUCAAGGAAUGAAGGGGGAAGCAGGAACAAUGGGGAACCCAGGUCAAGCUGGUCCUGCUGGUGCUGAUGGUAAGCCUGGUGUGCCUGGUAACCGAGGGAUUCCUGGACCACAGGGUCCAACUGGGACAGAGGGGCGACGCGGGGUUGAUGGCAACAAGGGAGAACAAGGACGACCUGGUGAUUCGGGUGAAAGAGGGGUUCCGGGAUUACCUGGGCCAUUGGGUCAAGCAGGUGAAAAGGGCUCUAUGGGUAUUUCAGGGGGAUCAGGACUUGCCGGCAAAGAUGGCCUAGUGGGAGAAAAAGGAGCCAGGGGAUUCUCUGGGCCAGCCGGACAUCCAGGAGUACCAGGUUUACCUGGAAACGAUGGAAAGAACGGAGUCCCAGGACAAAUCGGUCAAAAGGGAGAGGUUGGAGCAGCUGGCAUCCCUGGUCUAGACGGAAGGGAGGGCCAUCCUGGUAUGCCUGGCGAGCCUGGGAAUGAGGGCCAGAGUGGAACUAAGGGUGAAGAUGGUUUACCAGGACCGAAGGGAGCCAAAGGUUCCAUUGGACUAUCUGGGGACAAUGGAUUGCCUGGUGAACCUGGAUCAUCAGGACAACCUGGACCUAAGGGCAGCAAAGGUGAAAGUGGACUUCCAGGUCAACCAGGGGUUCCAGGACAGGAGGGCAAGUCAGGUGACCAUGGUGGAGCAGGUCAGCCAGGACACCCAGGAAUGCCAGGCCUGACAGGACCUAAGGGACAAAGGGGAGAUCCAGGUGAACGAGGAGGGGAGGGAUUGAGAGGUGAAAAAGGAGAUAUAGGAAUUCCAGGGAAUCAUGGCUCUAAUGGCUCAUCAGGACAAAAAGGAGAGCCAGAAAGGGACAACAGGAGACCCCGGUCAGAGGGGACUGGGAGGUCACCAAGGCCAGCCAGGACUAUCUGGGCAGACAGGCCCGCCUGGGCCUCGAGGACAGAGCGGGGACGUUGGCCCUCUUGGGCCACCUGGACUAGAGGGGAGACCUGGAAGGGAGAUGUCCAAGCAAAUAAUUCAGGAAAUAUGCAGAGAGGUACUUAGAUUGGAGAUGCCUUCACUACUCCUCAGUAACCAGCAGCUGAGUAACUGUGACCACUGUCAGACCAGGGAUGGGACUCCGGGGGUACCAGGCCCGGUUGGGCCCCAAGGAUCUACAGGCUUUCCUGGGAACCCUGGUUCCAGUGGACAGCCAGGCCAUCCAGGUCGACCUGGGCAUCCUGGGAUGCUUGGCUUGAAAGGAGAUCCUGGAUUAAAGGGUGAGAAGGGCAGUCAAGGAAGAACAGAGAUUGGAGAUCCGGGAACUCCAGGGCCUCCAGGUCAAAUGGGCCCCCAGGGGUACAGUAAACCAGGCCAUCCAGGGAAGCCAGGACCCCCUGGCUUAAACGGGGAGGAGGGGAAGAGAGGUAACCCUGGGGUCCCGGGCCAGCCGGGGGUGUGUCAUCUAUCCAUGUGUUACGGUGUCAUGAUGAGGAGCAGGGAUCCUUUUAGUAAAGGACCAAACUAUUGACCCAACAUGGCAGCAGGCAGGCAAUCAAACAGUCUGAAGUAGAUACAUACAUCUCAAAGAAAAACAGCAAAUCUUUCCAAUCUCAGGAAGAUCACAUUUUACAGUGUUUCCCAUUAGUCACGGAAACAGGAAGUACCUCUUAACAUGUAUAUAGCAAAGAUACUCAUGUGCAUCCUUUCAUGACCUUUAUCAAGCCCAGUUUAUACCUGGUUCUAACCUGGUCCUUUGUCCUGAUCUUGUCCACAUUUUGACUGUGCCCACAUUUUUAGACAGGUGUAGACAAUUAUAAGAUUGUGAUCUGUGAUCUGAUUCUGAUCGAAUCUUCCUGACCAGCUUCUUAGGUAGUUAGGCACACGUUGGGUUUGGAAAUAUCUGUGUAGACGAAUCUGGACAGAUGGCACCAUUGACUUAUGUCAUCAAUAUGUGUCUUAAAAUAAAGAAAGAUUAUUUUGAAAGAAUAACUGUGAAAUAAUUUGCAUACAGGGGUGGGCCAGGAAAUCUCGUCACAAUGCAUGCACAGUGGACGGAUAAGAGAUUACAUUUCUGAAAAUUUGGGGACAAUCACAAUGUGGACAAGAUCAGGACACAGGACCCAUAUUAGCAGCAGGUAUAAACCGGCUUUAGAGGGGGAAAAAACAUAUUCAUUCUGUCCUUGUCACAUUCUGCUUGUUAUGUCAUGGGCUCCAUUUUGCUUUAAAGGGAUAGUACAACAUUUUUUCCUUUUUGUACUUGCCCAGAGUCAGAUGAACUCAUGGAUACCAUUUGUCUCUGCAGGCAGUUUGAAGGUAGUUUCUGGAGCCAUUGCUAUCUAGCAUUAGCACAAUGACUGGAAGUCUACAGGAACAGCUAGCAUGAAAAAAAUGUUUCACUAUCCCUUUAAAAGAUUGAUAGUAAUUGCUCCUACAUUUGGAUGGCUUUGGUUGGCAUUGGUUAGAUUCUGAGCCAAAUAGCAAUACAAAAAAUCCAAUGUAAAGAAUUCUACAUUGCUCACAGAAGCACACGGGAAUAAAGGGUUGGUACUCCACUUGGACAAUGCUGAUGGUACAUUUUCUUGCCAUAUACUGCCGCCUGGUGUUGGUGUUUUUGCACUAUACUUUUUGAUUGAUCACCCCAAAAUUAUGAUUUUUUUGCACCAGACUUUCUGAUUGGUCACCCCAAAACGUUUUGGUUUUUGCACCAUACAUUCUGAUUGGUCACCCCAAAAAAGUUGUGUUUUUGCACCAUUUCUUUUUCAUGGUCACCCCUCAAUUUGUUUAGCAAAUUUGUUUGUAUUUUUUUAUGAAAUGUUUAAAGACCCUGUAAUGUAUUAUAAUUUGUAAUUUGACAAAUAAAGUUGUUGUAAACAACAUCUAAAUAAUUAUUACAUAGUUUCAGGGCAAAUCUGUGAGCUUACUAUGUCUAUAAUGGAGGCUGCUAUGUUUAUGAAACAUUUUGAUGAAUGAACAUAUAAAAGCCAUAAUCUAAAACCUGUGUGCAUUACAGCGAUGCUAUUUCAGUUUAUAUUCCUUUUAAAACAUUUUAUACAAAAACUAGUUUAUGUAUUGUAUGAAAAAUACAUUAACAAGUAUUUUUUAAAACUUGAGUAGAGGAUAGGCCUACCUACUAUAACAAAUGUAAACCUGGGAAAUCCUAGCUACUUUCUGCCAAAAGAGUGCGGGAUAAAUGUUGACAUCUUGACUUAAUCUGAAGUUUGCUCUGUUACAAAUGUUUUACUGUUCGUGCAUAUAUGACAUUUAUGUGCCUGAGUACCUUACCUUACCGUACCUUGUCUUACCUUAGCCUAUCAAGUUGAAGUAUUUUUGGUUAUUUAUAAAACUGAACUAAUUUACUGUGUAUUGAUGGGCUUUACCUGUGAGAGCAUGGUCGUUUUUUUGCUGUGUCUAAUUUUGUAUGUGUAAUGGUGACUUUUGUAUUGACUUUUGGUAUCAUUAAUUAAAACUUUUUUAUGACGUGAAGUUUUUUUGUGUUUGUGUGUGUGUUAUGCAAAUAAAAAAAUAAAUUCCA